rnacentral:rRNA from 1 species
ACGAACGCUGGCGGCGUGCUUAACACAUGCAAGUCGAACGGAAAGGCCCUGCUUGCCGGGUACUCGAGUGGCGAACGGGUGAGUAACACGUGGGUGAUCUGCCCUGCACUUCGGGAUAAGCCUGGGAAACUGGGUCUAAUACCGGAUAGGAGCCAUUUUUAGUGUGAUGGUUGGAAAGUUUUUUCGGUGUAGGAUGAGCUCGCGGCCUAUCAGCUUGUUGGUGGGGUAAUGGCCUACCAAGGCGGCGACGGGUAGCCGGCCUGAGAGGGUGGACGGCCACAUUGGGACUGAGAUACGGCCCAGACUCCUACGGGAGGCAGCAGUGGGGAAUAUUGCACAAUGGGCGCAAGCCUGAUGCAGCGACGCCGCGUGGGGGAUGACGGCCUUCGGGUUGUAAACUCCUUUCGCUAGGGACGAAGCUUUUUGUGACGGUACCUAGAUAAGAAGCACCGGCUAACUACGUG